AGAGUUUGAUCCUGGCUCAGAACGAACGCUGGCGGCGUGCUUAACACAUGCAAGUCGAGCGAGAAAGGUACCUUCGGGUGCUGAGUAAAGCGGCGAACGGGUGAGUAACACGUGAGUAACGUGCCCUUCAAUGGGGGAUAACAGUUUGAAAAGACUGCUAAUACCGCAUAAGACCACGACUUCUUAGGGAGAUGGGGUAAAAGGCUUCGGCCGUUGAAGGAUCGGCUCGCGGCCCAUUAGAUAGUUGGUGAGGUAAUGGCUCACCAAGUCUGAGAUGGGUAGCUGGUCUGAGAGGAUGAUCAGCCACACUGGGACUGAGACACGGCCCAGACUCCUACGGGAGGCAGCAGUGGGGAAUCUUGCGCAGUGGACGAAAGUCUGACGCAGCAACGCCGCGUGUGUGAUGAAGGCUUUCGGGUCGUAAAGCACUGUCAGGAGGGAAGAAGAAAGUGACGGUACCUCCAAAGGAAGCACCGGCUAACUCCGUGCCAGCAGCCGCGGUAAUACGGAGGGUGCAAGCGUUGUUCGGAAUUAUUGGGCGUAAAGCGCGCGCAGGCGGCUUGUUAAGUCCGAUGUGAAAGCCCAGGGCUCAACCUUGGAUGUGCAUUGGAAACUGGCAAGCUUGAGUAUGUGAGGGGUCAGUGGAAUUCCUGGUGUAGGAGUGAAAUCCGUAGAGAUCAGGAGGAACACCAGUGGCGAAGGCGACUGACUGGAACAUAACUGACGCUGAGGCGCGAAAGCGUGGGUAGCAAACAGGAUUAGAUACCCUGGUAGUCCACGCCGUAAANCGAUGUUCACUAGCUGCUGUGUCCUUAGAUGAUGCCAGUGGCGUAGCUAACCGCGUUAAGUAACCCGCCUGG
rnacentral:rRNA from 1 species